GUUUCGGCCACAACGCAAGCACGUCGUGAGAAUUAUUUUAUUAUGUCUUAUUUUUAUUAUUUUAUUAUUUCCAUUCUACGUGACUUUACCGAAAGAACCAAGAAGAUGACUCCGUGCAGUCACGAAAGCUUUCAAUCGAAAUUUAUAUGAAGUGAUGUUUUUUAUAUAUAUUAUAACGGCGGUUGGAUUUGAACCCGUGAUCUUUUGACGACUGACGCCUUGCGGCGAGGUUUGUAAGUAUAUAAAAAAACAAAAUUAAUCUUGCUUUGAAGCUUUCGUGACUGCAGGAAUCCAUACUCUUUGGUUCUUUCGGUAAAGUUACGUGGGUAGAAAAUAAAUCACGACGUUUCGGGUGCAACACAUGUGUCCAUCAUCAGGUGGGAAAGCAUGGUCUGCUGCUUAGGCAGACUGUUUAAAAUGUUUGAAAUGGGUGUAGCUCAAGGAUCACUAGUCCCGGCCACUUCUUUUUGACCUUUGAGCUACAAUUUUAAAAGGCAAACAAUAUCCGUCUCAAAAUAAUUUGAAUAAACACUGCACGUAACUUUAGCACUGCUUUGAACUCACCGGAUAAUUUGAACUGACACAUUUUUCUUCCCUGAUGAACGAUUGAUAGCCAAGAGUGAAGAAAGUAGACUGCUGAUACUGUCAGAAAACCAAGAAGAUAAACACACGUUCAUCGGGAAGCGUUCAAGGCUGGCGGGCAGAGGCGGGAGCGCUGGUUGGCUCAGCACCACUGAGCGUGCGCUUCUCUUUCACUGAUUGAGCGAGCGGCUCGGAGAAGACAAGGGAGUGUUGCACGCCGCGGGUUUCUCGCGCAGGAAUUUUAAACCGUUCAGAUGAAAGCGUCCUCACACGCUCAAGUUGGUUGUAGCCGAGGCAAGGUGACCUCCGGCUAUGGCGCCGUCUUUUCCCAGAAGCUGUCGCUGAGGCUGCUGUUGCCACCGCUGCCGCUGAAUGUGGCCAUGGCACAGCGCGAGAGCGCAGGCCGCGCGUCCAUCCUCUCGAUGCUGCGGUGCAAGCAGGCGGACAUCGCCUAGAACCUCUCCUCCGGAUACGGGUGCUUCUGUCACGCCAGAUUCCGCCACGCAGAGCCCCUGGAUGAACUGGACUUGUGCUGCAUGAUGGCCCACUGCUGUGCCCGUGACGUAAUCCUCGACUACUGCCAGUCGGAGAGUGGCCUGCAAACGCUCGAGGCCAAACUCAAGGUGCAGCCCUCCUGCAAGACGCACGGACUGCUGACGAAAAUGCGGGAGACACCAUGGAUGAACCCACAUUCGCUGAAGAGAACAAUGCAGGAGACACUAUCAAUAAACUCACAUUCACUGACAAGAACAAUACGAGAGACACUCUGAAUGAACUGCUUCUUAACCUAUGCCCCCCAUCAUUCAGCCGUCCUCAUCUAUCUUUGAGGCUGAAAUGUCCACAAUGGAGAGGGGCUAUGAGAUAGGGUUCAAGAGGCACAUAGAUUUUUAGCAGGCCAAGAUUUUGAUUUGGGGCUUGUUGCAGAGCUUCACGGUUCGACUCCAGCGGCUACCCCGGUUACUACUGAAGUGACAUCUGUCUUCACAGUGGACGUUAAAGUUUCCGUGACGUCAUUUGCAAUAAUGGACCAUUGCGUGUGCCAGCGUCACGAUCCAAAUUUUGCCAAGUAAAAAAUACCCGCAAAUUACUCAAUUGGUAUUUAUCACAACGAGCAUCGCCCCCGACUAAUAAAAUCUGGUAGGAGCCUUCUGCAAAGAGUCACGAGAUGGGGGAAGCUUUCCUGGGCAACCAAGCACACUCAUGCAGAUAGAGAGCUUUGGAAGAGAAGAGAAAUAACUCUUAAGUGUAAAUAAACUUUUAUUUUAUGCAGGAGUGAUAUCUAUAUUAACAUGCGAAUCAAGGACACACCUUACUAAUUGGCUGUGGCGGGUUUAACGACCCACUUAGGUUAACACGAUCUAACCCAAAAACAGUUUAUUAAGGAGCUGGAUACUAACUUAGCCGCUCAAUAUUAAGUUGCUAGUAUUUGACUAGAGGUGUCUGAGAUACGGUGAGUGAUUGCAACACAAAAGGAGGAUAUUAAAUUAAUUAUUACCACCAUGAGGGUGACUCGAGAUGUACGCUCAUAUUCUUAGGGUCUUUCAGUAAAGUCCCGUAGAUAUUUUCAAAGAAAAUUACAAAAAACUACGACGUUUAGAUUGCAACACAAGCAUUUUUUACAUUUUUUUUGAACCUAUCUACGUGACUUUACCGAAAGACCCAUAUAAUAUGAAUUCCUGUGGUCACAAAAGCUUUGAGUCAAGAUUUAUGUACGUUCAUUUUGAGGCACGUGGUGUGGGCAGAGCGGCGGAAAUUAGUUGGCUUCGAAUUCUUCAGUAAGUCGCUUCAGGCUCUUAAGUGGGAGGCACCGUAGACAUCGCGGUGGUACAAGGACGGUGAUGACCUCACGACGCAUCACGAACGUGGGUGGGGAUAAGUGAGGUUAUCGUUAUCUAUGGGACCUUUUUUGUCAGUAUCAAAACAAUGAAAAAUAAGAAGAGGUUUUGUCUUUCCUGGCAAUAAAACGCGAGGUGUUAAGAUGUCCAAACACCAAAAUAGAUACAAACUCUUUGGUUCUCUCGGUAAAGUCACGUAGAUAGAAAAUUAAUAAUAACCUCUGAUAAUAAUUGCAUUGUCCUAAAAACGAAUUAGCCUACACCAGAGAACGGCCUUAUUUAUGGCCUUGUCUCGCCACCAGUGUGAGACCAGAGAACUCCAAAGGGUGAAUAGCACAAAGGCAAUGGAAGUAUCAGAACACUUCUAGCUCGAUUCAAAGCUUUCGUGACUGCAGGGAUUCAUCUUCUUGGUUCUUUCGGUAAAGUCACGUAGAAGGGAAAUAAUAAAAUAAUAAAACUAAAACAUAAUAAAAUACAAUUCUCACUGUGAGAAAUGCUCAGCAAAUCUGCAAACCUGUUCCUGGGGGUCGGAGAUUGGAUCACCGUUUUUUCUCCUACUGAUGGUAAUAGGUGUGGCGCUGCAGGUUACGUUUUUGAUGGAGUUAAAUAGGGAUUUGUGAUCGCGGGCCACUGAGGCAGACUCCAUCUCCUCAGCAACCCGCAACCACCACCCAUCCUUGCAGCGCCUCACGGCUCUCCGAACCUCCGAGCGAAGGCUGCGGUAAGCCUCCUCAUUCUCUGACAUGGGAUGCUGUAGAUGAUUAGAGUAGGCCUGUCGCUUUUUCUCAACCAUCCUGAGCACCUCCUCUGUCAGCCAGGGUCUCUGGGGAGGUCUGGACCGCUUACCCAAAGCAGCCAUUGCAGCUGCAUGAGUCACACUCCUAAACCUCGCCCAUUUACCCUCGACACCUGGAGGAGUGGGGGAAGAUUCCAACACCAGCCAUAAGCGAUGAUGAAAUUCUCGCUUGCAACUUUCAUCAGCUAACUGAGACCAGGCCACCUUUGGUUGAAAUGGGGUCCUGGGUGUACACCUGUAGUGGUGUUAACUACUCGCUGUUCGCAAACUCUGAGAGCGGAUCGUAAACAAGGUUCUCCCGCUCAAUCAAACGGUCAGGAUCAAAUGGGGUGAGGUAGGAUCCAAACGCCAGAUUGGGAAGGACCAAUCGGAGGGUUCCGCAAGGUGGCCGGGGAUUGGACAACCCGGCCACGAACAGGUAUAAAAGCCAGAGCGCUGAGAGCUCUUGGCCAGUUCUGCUACACGAAACCCCAAGUCGGCCGAAGACAUCUAAGACCCUGGACCAAGCCCUCCAGCUCUUAUCAGGGCUCGGGCUCAGAGUAACCAGUGGUCGGGGAGAGAUCCCCUAUGUCCAGCCAGAGGACGCUGAGAUAGCAGGAAGAUUAGAUAGCCUGCAAGGCCCGGAGGCUGUGUCUCCUCAGGGUAACGGGUGAGGGGACCAUAUACCCCUUUGUGUGAUAGGGACUGUGUAUUAAGACAAUAAACAGUGUGUGCCAUAAAGAAGUUUAGAAGUCUGUCCUUUACAACACUACACACCCACCACCGGAGUGGAAGAAUGGCAGGCAUAUCUUACAGAUGACUAGUCAAUUAUCAGAGGGAAGAUCAGCUCCAUGGUAGGUCCUGGUGUCAAGGACAUGGGCUCGCAUCCGCUGAUCAUCACUAUAUCACUAUGUAGUCCAGCAGAUGUUCUUGCUUGGACCCGGCAUGCAUCCAUGAUGUUGUGUGGAUGCGCCAAUGCCGGAACAGCGUGUUGGUAAUUACAAGCCCAUGGACUGCACAAAAAUCUAGCAGCCUCCUACCGUUGUUAAUGAACUGAUCUAGCCCAUGCCUUCAAAUCCAGACCAGGUGCCAGCAUCAUGACCAACUCGGGAAUUGCUGUCACUCAAAAAGAUGACUCUAUCCCGAGGGGCCACUUUAGCCAGCACCUGUGACAGGAAGUCAUAGAAGGCAUCUGACUCAUCGGCCUUGCCUGCAUCCCUCCACGGAUGUUUGUCUUCGGUGGGGGCAUAAGUAACCACGACCACCACUCCUCAACUCCGGUUGAUGGGAAGGCGAGCCCAAAGUAGCCUGGGGCUUACAGCUUCCCACACCUCACCGCCACGCUCCCACGCCCCCUUCAUUCUUUUGUUCAGAAGAAGAGCCACACCCUGUCGUUUGGCAGACUCCUGCCCC